rnacentral:lncRNA from 1 species
UUGGCAUGCCUGUUUUAGAUUUAAUUCAGUUCCCAUGUUUUUUUUUGUGCACACCACAAUCCUUUAAUUAUUCUUGCAUGGAUAGAGCAUCAGUCAUAUGAUUUUUCACAAAGAAAGCUUACCUAGAUAGGUACCAGAACAUUGGCAGCGGAAAGCAGACUCAUUACCUACACUUGCUUUGCCUGCUCACUUUCUACUGUUGCCUUCAAUGGACAAUAUUUAUGAAGUAAGAAGGUUUUAUGAUUAUAGGUUUUAAAUAAGUACUUUACUUAAUGUCAUCAGUUAGUAUUAAAUAGUAGUUCAGUGCCAAACGAAAAAUCCAUGCACUAUGCCAGAUGCCUCGGGGGCUCUUAUCCGCUCUGGGUUCAGAGUGCAGUGGCAUACCACGCUCACCCUCAACCAGAGCUGAUAGAUAGUGAAAAUGCCAGACGUCGUGAUAUCUGCACCAGUGAACCGUGUCGCACAUUUGAUCCCAAUAAUGAACAGCACAGGGGUGACGUAAAAAUGUGCGUUAGUUGGAGCACCUAAACUCAGAUUGUCAUUACCUAAUUAGUUUUCACAUUGUAAAGCUUAAACUACACUUCAUGCUCUUUUGGCUCACCUGUUACCAGUAUCAGUAAAUAGGGUAUUAGUAAAUCUGGCGUUACCAUCAAUGCUAAGUGCUAACAAGUAAAUAUGAUGUCCAAGGAAGAUAAAAAUCAUAAUCUUACUUGACCUAACCUUACCUUCUAACCUAACUAACCUACAACCUACAAACCUCAACCUACAUACAACCUCCAUACCUACAACCUACCCACCUACAACCUACCAACCUUAUAUGUGCCGACGGUGGCACCAGAUUUAUGGAUACCCUUAUUUGUUAGGUACUUCACUCCACUUCUCAUUUUAUUUGAAGCUCAUUUAAAUUAUUGUAUUUAAGUCUGUGUAAACUAUUAUUUUAAAAACCUGAUGCUUUUCCAUGACUGUAAUCUCACUGUUUGCUAUGUGUAUUUUGUAGUGUGUACUGUGUGCAAAUCCAGUAUCCUACACUUGUAUGCUACAGGCCUUGUUUUGAUCUGACUAACUGUUAAUAUGUUUCAGCUUUAAAGACUAGUAUCUUUUGAAAUUGAAAUUUGCCUCUCAGUCUCUCAAGAAUCAAGAUGCCAAAUAGAUGUGCAGGAUUUGAUUGCUGACAAACCAGGGAUGAGGCUCAAGAGGUGGCUGGAACAACCCCAGUGCCGCACAGUUCUGCGGGAUAUUCCGGCACCUGCUCCACCGCUGCGGCGUCCGGCCCGGCAGCACAGGGAAAGUGGCAGCCCUCGACCCGACCAGCAUCCUGGCAGUCGGUCACACGACCAGCGGACGGGGAGCCAGCCUUACUACCUCGGCCUCCACCACCUCAGACAACGGUGCCACGGCACUCCACAUCAUCACGGAGCACGACUUCCAGCCUGGGCUGUCGUCUGGUGGGCAACAUCGUCACCUACAUCGCAGGGUUCGUGGUGAAGAAGGCGCUCGACUCUGUCAGCUGUAGCACCUGUCAGGAGGCCCUGGUGAGCGACAUCCAGCCGGACGACAUGACACAGCUUUACCACCUCUUCAUCAUCUCUGCCAGAUGAGCUAAGGUGGGGACGGGUUACAUGCCUGGGAUCUGACUGAGACCCGCUCAUACCCUGCCGAAGUGUUGGUGAUUUCAGCGGUCAUCUGUCUCUAGCCGGUGUCAGUGAGUCGCGGCCAGCUGCCGCUGGAGUGGGUAUCUACCGUCGAUAGCUGCUGUGUGGCGGAUAACGUGGAUUUGGAUGGACACUUCAUAUUAAUGAACAGAUCAAUGUCUGGCCGAUAAAAGACGUAUUUUGUCGAUGAUUGCUUAGUGACUGAGUGGGUCCACUGGCGACCAAUGCAGUGGGCGCUGGGUUAACGCCUCGCCUCUUGUGACCGUGUCGAUAUGUAGCACUGUUAAUUGCCGAUUCGUUGCCGGCCGUCUCUGCUCCGUGGCUGGCUGAUCCGGCACAAACUGGUGUUCGUGGCUGAAGGCGCGGCUACAGUUACACUAGCUCGCCACGUGCCUGUGCGACUAUCGUCGGUGCUGUCUGCAAGGGCGAUGUCGGUGCCUGUAGGGGGCGCGGAUUGAUUCAAAGUGAGGAAUGGGUCAUCGGAGCUCGGGUCAGGUCAUGUUCGGCUAAAAUAAGCGGAUUUUGCGAUUUGCCGCAUCCGGGUGAAUUUCCUUGCCUUCUAGUGCAUGUUUAUGCAUUUUACAUGCGUUUUUUUUAGUGUUGAUGUCUAGAUAACGUGCAUUUGCCUCGAGGUCAAGGCUGCGCUUCAUAUGGGCAGUUUUCGGAGCAUCUUGCUCAUUUUAUUCGUAAUCCUUAAUUAUGUUUGCGGAUUUGUGCCCGCAAAUCAUUUUUUAAAGUAAGAUUGACACGGGAUUCGUGAUCGGCGCCCAUAAAUACACUUCACAUGACCCGCCAUGUGUCAAGGCCAUCCGAGGUCAUCUAAGGUCGCUGACCUUGUAUGACCUUAUGUGACCCGGUUCGCUAGAUUUCGAGAUGAGGUUGAUUGGGAAUGAUGUAACCCAUUUCGCCGACAGUUCACGCGUUUUGGUCGAUUUUAUAGCGAAAGAUCUCAAACUCCAGUGACUUUACUGGUUCGAUUUCCAGUGUUUGACCUGACCUCUGAGUUCACCCGUUGACCUAGUACCCUGAAAUUUGGUAUCACUGGUUUACUCACAUCGCGGACAGCAUACCUAUUUUUUCCGUUCUUGCUCCGUCGAGGGGCGAACGGCUGGAGUUCACUCCGUUCACCCUGGCUUCCCCUACUCGUAAGACGCUGACAAACUACGAACGGGUGAGGGCUAAAAUUGCACUUAUUGUCGAUCAUUGUCCAUUGCAUACUGCAUACAUAGAUAUAAAGUAUGGUAGCCAUAAUGGGAAACGAAUUUAAUCUUAAAUUAGCAUGCCAAUUGCAUCUACCUUCGGUGCCGCAUAUCCUUUAUCAGCGUCUUCAGGGCUAUAUGUCUAGGGCUGAUGUAAUUACAUUACUAUAAAUACACAUGUUUCUGCCCUUGUUUCACAA